rnacentral:rRNA from 1 species
GGGUUGUGAGGUUAAGCGACUAAGCGUACACGGUGGAUGCCCUGGCAGUCAGAGGCGAUGAAGGACGUGCUAAUCUGCGAUAAGCGUCGGUAAGGUGAUAUGAACCGUUAUAACCGGCGAUUUCCGAAUGGGGAAACCCAGUGUGUUUCGACACACUAUCAUUAACUGAAUCCAUAGGUUAAUGAGGCGAACCGGGGGAACUGAAACAUCUAAGUACCCCGAGGAAAAGAAAUCAACCGAGAUUCCCCCAGUAGCGGCGAGCGAACGGGGAGCAGCCCAGAGCCUGAAUCAGUGUGUGUGUUAGUGGAAGCGUCUGGAAAGGCGCGCGAUACAGGGUGACAGCCCCGUACACAAAAAUGCACAUGCUGUGAGCUCGAUGAGUAGGGCGGGACACGUGGUAUCCUGUCUGAAUAUGGGGGGACCAUCCUCCAAGGCUAAAUACUCCUGACUGACCGAUAGUGAACCAGUACCGUGAGGGAAAGGCGAAAAGAACCCCGGCGAGGGGAGUGAAAAAGAACCUGAAACCGUGUACGUACAAGCAGUGGGAGCACGCUUAGGCGUGUGACUGCGUACCUUUUGUAUAAUGGGUCAGCGACUUAUAUUCUGUAGCAAGGUUAACCGAAUAGGGGAGCCGAAGGGAAACCGAGUCUUAACUGGGCGUUAAGUUGCAGGGUAUAGACCCGAAACCCGGUGAUCUAGCCAUGGGCAGGUUGAAGGUUGGGUAACACUAACUGGAGGACCGAACCGACUAAUGUUGAAAAAUUAGCGGAUGACUUGUGGCUGGGGGUGAAAGGCCAAUCAAACCGGGAGAUAGCUGGUUCUCCCCGAAAGCUAUUUAGGUAGCGCCUCGUGAAUUCAUCUCCGGGGGUAGAGCACUGUUUCGGCAAGGGGGUCAUCCCGACUUACCAACCCGAUGCAAACUGCGAAUACCGGAGAAUGUUAUCACGGGAGACACACGGCGGGUGCUAACGUCCGUCGUGAAGAGGGAAACAACCCAGACCGCCAGCUAAGGUCCCAAAGUCAUGGUUAAGUGGGAAACGAUGUGGGAAGGCCCAGACAGCCAGGAUGUUGGCUUAGAAGCAGCCAUCAUUUAAAGAAAGCGUAAUAGCUCACUGGUCGAGUCGGCCUGCGCGGAAGAUGUAACGGGGCUAAACCAUGCACCGAAGCUGCGGCAGCGACGCUUAUGCGUUGUUGGGUAGGGGAGCGUUCUGUAAGCCUGCGAAGGUGUGCUGUGAGGCAUGCUGGAGGUAUCAGAAGUGCGAAUGCUGACAUAAGUAACGAUAAAGCGGGUGAAAAGCCCGCUCGCCGGAAGACCAAGGGUUCCUGUCCAACGUUAAUCGGGGCAGGGUGAGUCGACCCCUAAGGCGAGGCCGAAAGGCGUAGUCGAUGGGAAACAGGUUAAUAUUCCUGUACUUGGUGUUACUGCGAAGGGGGACGGAGAAGGCUAUGUUGGCCGGGCGACGGUUGUCCCGGUUUAAGCGUGUAGGCUGGUUUUCCAGGCAAAUCCGGAAAACUAAGGCUGAGGCGUGAUGACGAGGCACUACGGUGCUGAAGCAACAAAUGCCCUGCUUCCAGGAAAAGCCUCUAAGCAUCAGGUAACAUCAAAUCGUACCCCAAACCGACACAGGUGGUCAGGUAGAGAAUACCAAGGCGCUUGAGAGAACUCGGGUGAAGGAACUAGGCAAAAUGGUGCCGUAACUUCGGGAGAAGGCACGCUGAUAUGUAGGUGAAGUCCCUCGCGGAUGGAGCUGAAAUCAGUCGAAGAUACCAGCUGGCUGCAACUGUUUAUUAAAAACACAGCACUGUGCAAACACGAAAGUGGACGUAUACGGUGUGACGCCUGCCCGGUGCCGGAAGGUUAAUUGAUGGGGUCAGCGCAAGCGAAGCUCUUGAUCGAAGCCCCGGUAAACGGCGGCCGUAACUAUAACGGUCCUAAGGUAGCGAAAUUCCUUGUCGGGUAAGUUCCGACCUGCACGAAUGGCGUAAUGAUGGCCAGGCUGUCUCCACCCGAGACUCAGUGAAAUUGAACUCGCUGUGAAGAUGCAGUGUACCCGCGGCAAGACGGAAAGACCCCGUGAACCUUUACUAUAGCUUGACACUGAACAUUGAGCCUUGAUGUGUAGGAUAGGUGGGAGGCUUUGAAGUGUGGACGCCAGUCUGCAUGGAGCCGGCCUUGAAAUACCACCCUUUAAUGUUUGAUGUUCUAACGUGGACCCGUGAUCCGGGUUGCGGACAGUGUCUGGUGGGUAGUUUGACUGGGGCGGUCUCCUCCUAAAGAGUAACGGAGGAGCACGAAGGUUGGCUAAUCCUGGUCGGACAUCAGGAGGUUAGUGCAAUGGCAUAAGCCAGCUUGACUGCGAGCGUGACGGCGCGAGCAGGUGCGAAAGCAGGUCAUAGUGAUCCGGUGGUUCUGAAUGGAAGGGCCAUCGCUCAACGGAUAAAAGGUACUCCGGGGAUAACAGGCUGAUACCGCCCAAGAGUUCAUAUCGACGGCGGUGUUUGGCACCUCGAUGUCGGCUCAUCACAUCCUGGGGCUGAAGUAGGUCCCAAGGGUAUGGCUGUUCGCCAUUUAAAGUGGUACGCGAGCUGGGUUUAGAACGUCGUGAGACAGUUCGGUCCCUAUCUGCCGUGGGCGCUGGAGAAUUGAGGGGGGCUGCUCCUAGUACGAGAGGACCGGAGUGGACGCAUCACUGGUGUUCGGGUUGUCAUGCCAAUGGCACUGCCCGGUAGCUAAAUGCGGAAGAGAUAAGUGCUGAAAGCAUCUAAGCACGAAACUUGCCCCGAGAUGAGUUCUCCCUGACUCCUUGAGAGUCCUGAAGGAACGUUGAAGACGACGACGUUGAUAGGCCGGGUGUGUAAGCGCAGCGAUGCGUUGAGCUAACCGGUACUAAUGAACCGUGAGGCUUAACCUUACAACGCCGAAGGUGUUU